ensembl:miRNA
GUGGGUUGAGGUAGUAGGUUGUAUAGUUUUAGGGUCACACCCGCACUGGGAGAUAACUAUUCAACCUACUGUCUUUCUCAAAGU